UACGUAGGGGGCAAGCGUUGUUCGGAAUUACUGGGCGUAAAGCGUGCGCAGGCGGCUUCUCAAGUCAGGGGUGAAAGCCCAGAGCUCAACUCUGGAAUUGCCUUUGAGACUGAGUGGCUUGAGUACGAGAGAGGUGAGUGGAAUUCCCAGUGUAGAGGUGAAAUUCGUAGAUAUUGGGAAGAACACCGGUGGCGAAGGCGGCUCACUGGCUCGUAACUGACGCUCAUGCACGACAGCGUGGGGAUCAAACAGG
rnacentral:rRNA from 1 species